GAUGAAGAACGCAGCGAAAUGCGAUAAGUAAUGUGAAUUGCAGAAUUCAGUGAAUCAUCGAAUCUUUGAACGCACAUUGCGCCCGCCAGUAUUCUGGCGGGCAUGCCUGUUCGAGCGUCAUUUCAACCAUCAAGCCCCCGGCUUGUGUUGGGGACCUGCGGCUGCCGCAGGCCCUGAAAACCAGUGGCGGGCUCGCUAGUCACUCCGAGCGUAGUAGUUACAUCUCGCUCAGGGCGUGCUGCGGGUUCCGGCCGUUAAAAGCCUUAUUUACCCGAGGUUGACCUCGGAUCAGGUAGGAAGACCCGCUGAACUUAAGCAUAUCAAUAAGCGGAGGA
rnacentral:misc_RNA from 1 species